rnacentral:lncRNA from 1 species
CUCAGCCCACUUUAGACAUCUCAAUGUGUGUUUCCAUUGCAUCUAGUGGGCCAUGUUUCUAAAAUUGCUUUAGUGGUAGGGCCUUGGCUCUUUACAAAACAGGAAUCAAACAUAUAGGAGUAGAUAUGGAGAAGAAGAAGAUAACGUAGAAGAAAGAUAACCUGGAUUAUCAAAAGACACAACAAAAAAAGAAAUAGUGGCAUCCUGGCCACUUCCACUGCAAACAUGCACAAUGAAGAUCCAGAGGCACAAUCUGGGAGGGAAUGGAUCAAAUUGGAAGAUUAAGAAGCAGUCUAGACUCGAAUCAUGGCUGAAAUCUAGACGCCACACGCUUCCUUUUCCCGGCACCGAACGAAAUAGACUACAUCAAAGGAGCAUAAAAAUCACCUCUGGCGGAACAGGACUCCCCAGUAUCCCACAGUGGUGAAGUUGUUGGGACUUCCGGGUAAACAUGGCUGCAAUCUAAACUCCACACGCUUCCUCUCCCUGGCACCAAACUAAAUCAAAGACUACAUCAAAGGAGCAUAAAAACCACCUUUGGAGGAACAGAAGGACUCCCCAGUACCCCACAGAGACGAAGGUAUGUGGGGUUUGAACAUUUUCACACUAUAAUAAGAAGGAGGAAAAGCUUG